rnacentral:miRNA from 1 species
GAGGUGGGAAGAUUGCUUGAGCCUGGAAGAUCUAGGCUGUAGUGAGUCAUGAUCACACCACUGCACUCCAGCCUGAGUGACAGAGCAAGAUCCUGUCUC